rnacentral:rRNA from 1 species
AUUGAACGCUGGCGGCAGGCCUAACACAUGCAAGUCGAGCGGAUGAAGGGAGCUUGCUCCUGGAUUCAGCGGCGGACGGGUGCGUAAUGCCUAGGAAUCUGCCUGGUAGUGGGGGAUAACGUCCGGAAACGGGCGCUAAUACCGCAUACGUCCUGAGGGAGAAAGUGGGGGAUCUUCGGACCUCACGCUAUCAGAUGAGCCUAGGUCGGAUUAGCUAGUUGGUGGGGUAAAGGCCUACCAAGGCGACGAUCCGUAACUGGUCUGAGAGGAUGAUCAGCCACACUGGAACUGAGACACGUUCCAGACUCCUACGGGAGGCAGCAGUGGGGAAUAUUGGACAAUGGGCGAAAGCCUGAUCCAGCCAUGCCGCGUGUGUGAAGAAGGUCUUCGGAUUGUAAAGCACUUUAAGUUGGGAGGAAGGGCAGUAAGUUAAUACCUUGCUGUUUUGACGUUACCAACAGAAUAAGCACCGGCUAACUUCGUG